GACGAACGCUGGCGGCGUGCUUAACACAUGCAAGUCGAGCGGUAAGGCCCUUUCGGGGGUACACGGGCGGCGAACGGGUGAGUAACACGUGGGUGACCUGCCCUCAGCUCUGGGAUAAGCCUGGGAAACUGGGUCUAAUACCGGAUAUGACUCCAUGACGCAUGUUGUGGGGUGGAAAGCCUUGUGCGGCUGAGGAUGGGCCCGCGGCCUAUCAGCUUGUUGGUGGGGUGAUGGCCUACCAAGGCGACGACGGGUAGCCGGCCUGAGAGGGCGACCGGCCACACUGGGACUGAGACACGGCCCAGACUCCUACGGGAGGCAGCAGUGGGGAAUCUUGCGCAAUGGGCGAAAGCCUGACGCAGCGACGCCGCGUGAGGGAUGACGGCCUGGUGUAAC
rnacentral:rRNA from 1 species